rnacentral:misc_RNA from 1 species
UACGCCGCUGCCUGUCCU